rnacentral:rRNA from 1 species
UUCCACACUGGGACUGAGACACGGCCCAGACUCCUACGGGAGGCAGCAGUAGGGAAUCUUCCGCAAUGGACGAAAGUCUGACGGAGCAACGCCGCGUGAGUGAUGAAGGUUUUCGGAUCGUAAAGCUCUGUUGUUAGGGAAGAACAAGUACCGUUCGAAUACCGCGGUACCUUGACGGUACCUAACCAGAAAGCCACGGCUAACUACGUGCCAGCAGCCGCGGUAAUACC